GUGGGGAAUAUUGCACAAUGGGCGAAAGCCUGAUGCAGCGACGCCGCGUGAGCGAAGAAGUAUUUCGGUAUGUAAAGCUCUAUCAGCAGGGAAGAAAAUGACGGUACCUGACUAAGAAGCCCCGGCUAACUACGUGCCAGCAGCCGCGGUAAUACGUAGGGGGCAAGCGUUAUCCGGAUUUACUGGGUGUAAAGGGAGCGUAGACGGAAAGGCAAGUCUGAUGUGAAAAUCCAGGGCUCAACCGCGGAACUGCAUUGGAAACUGUUUUUCUUGAGUGCCGGAGGGGUAAGCGGAAUUCCUAGUGUAGCGGUGAAAUGCGUAGAUAUUAGGAGGAACACCAGUGGCGAAGGCGGCUUACUGGACGGUAACUGACGUUGAGGCUCGAAAGCGUGGGGAGCAAACAGGAUUAGAUACCCGUGUAGUCC
rnacentral:rRNA from 1 species